GACGAACGCUGGCGGCGCGCCUAACACAUGCAAGUCGAACGGAGUCAAGAGGAGCUUGCUUUUCUUGACUUAGUGGCGAACGGGUGAGUAACGCGUGAGUAACCUGCCCUGGAGUGGGGGACAACAGUUGGAAACGACUGCUAAUACCGCAUAAGCCCACGGAUCUGCAUGGAUCUGCGGGAAAAGGAUUUAUUCGCUCUAGGGUGGACUCGCGUCCAAUUAGCUAGUUGGUGAGGUAACGGCCCACCAAGGCGACGAUUGGUAGCCGGACUGAGAGGUUGAACGGCCACAUUGGGACUGAGACACGGCCCAGACUCCUACGGGAGGCAGCAGUGGGGGAUAUUGCACAAUGGGGGAAACCCUGAUGCAGCGACGCCGCGUGGAGGAAGAAGGUUUUCGGAUUGUAAACUCCUGUCGUGAGGGACGAUAAUGACGGUACCUAACAAGAAAGCACCAGCUAACUACGUG
rnacentral:rRNA from 1 species